CAGGCCUAACACAUGCAAGUCGAGCGGACCAUUCCUUCGGGGAUGGUUAGCGGCGGGCGGGUGAGUAACACGUAGGCAACCUGCCUGUAAGAUCGGGAUAACUACCGGAAACGGUAGCUAAGACCGGAUAGCUGGUUUCUCCGCAUGGGGGAAUCAUGAAACACGGGGCAACCUGUGGCUUACGGAUGGGCCUGCGGCGCAUUAGCUAGUUGGUGGGGUAAUGGCCCACCAAGGCGACGAUGCGUAGCCGACCUGAGAGGGUGAUUGGCCACACUGGGACUGAGACACGGCCCAGACUCCUACGGGAGGCAGCAGUAGGGAAUCUUCCGCAAUGGGCGCAAGCCUGACGGAGCAACGCCGCGUGAGUGAUGAAGGUUUUCGGAUCGUAAAGCUCUGUUGCCAAGGAAGAACGCCUCGGAGAGUAACUGCUCUGAGGGUGACGGUACUUGAGAAGAAAGCCCCGGCUAACUACGUGCCAGCAGCCGCGGUAAUACGUAGGGGGCAAGCGUUGUCCGGAAUUAUUGGGCGUAAAGCGCGCGCAGGCGGUCUUUUAAGUUUGGUGUUUAAGCCCGGGGCUCAACCCCGGUUCGCACUGAAAACUGGGAGACUUGAGUGCAGGAGAGGAAAGCGGAAUUCCACGUGUAGCGGUGAAAUGCGUAGAGAUGUGGAGGAACACCAGUGGCGAAGGCGGCUUCCUGGACUGUAGCUGACGCUGAGGCGCGAAAGCGUGGGGAGCAAACAGGAUUAGAU
rnacentral:rRNA from 1 species